CCUACGGGUGGCAGCAGUGAGGAAUAUUGGUCAAUGGGCGGAAGCCUGAACCAGCCAAGUAGCGUGCAGGAUGACGGCCCUACGGGUUGUAAACUGCUUUUAUACGGGAAUAACGCGCCUUACGUGUAGGGCUUUUCAUGUACCGUAUGAAUAAGGACCGGCUAAUUCCGUUCCAGCAGCCGCGGUAAUACGGAAGGUCCGGGCGUUAUCCGGAUUUAUUGGGUUAAAGGGGAGCGUAGGCCGCAUGUCAAGCGUGCUGUAAAAUCGCGCGGCUCAACCGCGCCCCGCAGUUGAAACUGGACGCCUUGAGUACACAACAGGCAGGCGGAAUUCGUGGUGUAGCGGUGAAAUGCAUAGAUAUCACGAGGAACCCCGAUUGCGAAGGCAGCCUGCCGGGGUGCGACUGACGCUGAGGCUCGAAGGUGCGGGUAUCAAACAGGAUUAGAUACCCUUGUAGUC
rnacentral:rRNA from 1 species